rnacentral:rRNA from 1 species
CCUACGGGGGACAGCAGUGGGGAAUAUUGCACAAUGGGGGAAACCCUGAUGCAGCGACGCCGCGUGAGUGAAGAAGUAUUUCGGUAUGUAAAGCCCUAUCAGCAGGGAAGAAAAUGACGGUACCUGAUUAUGAAGCCCCGGCUAACUACGUGCCAGCAGCCGCGGUCAUACGGAGGGGGCCAGCGUUAUCCGGAUUUACUGGGUGUAAAGGGAGCGUAGUCGGGUGCGCAAGUCUGAAGUGAAAUGCCGGGGCUUAACCCCGGUACUGCCUUGGAAACUGUGCAGCUAGAGUGCAGGAGAGGUAAGUGGAAUGCCUAGUGUAGCGGUGAAAUGCGUAGAUAUUAGGAAGAACACCAGUGGCGAAGGCGGCUUACUGGACUGUAACUGACGUUGAGGCUCGAAAGCGUGGGGAGCAAACAGGAUUAGAUACCCUAGUAGUC